GACAUACUAAGAACUUUCCAGAGAUGGAUUGGUGCCUUCGGGAACUUAGAUACAGGUGCUGCAUGGCUGUCGUCAGCUCGUGUCGUGAGAUGUUGGGUUAAGUCCGCAACGAGCGCAACCCUUUUCCUUAUUUGCCAGCGGGUAAUGCCGGGAACUUUAAGGAUACUGCCAGUGACAAACUGGAGGAAGGCGGGGACGACGUCAAGUCAUCAUGGCCCUUACGGCCAGGGCUACACACGUGCUACAAUGGUCGGUACAAAGGGUUGCUACCUCGCGAGAGGAUGCUAAUCUCAAAAAGCCGAUCGUAGUCCGGAUCGCAGUCUGCAACUCGACUGCGUGAAGUCGGAAUCGCUAGUAAUCGCGGAUCAGAAUGCCGCGGUGAAUACGUUCCCGGGCCUUGUACACACCGCCCGUCACACCAUGGGAGUUUGUUGCACCAGAAGUAGGUAGUCUAACCGCAAGGAGGACGCUUACCACGGUGUGGCCGAUGACUGGGGUGAAGUCGUAACAAGGUAAGCGUAGAUGA
rnacentral:rRNA from 1 species